rnacentral:rRNA from 1 species
GGCGAACGCUGGCGGCGUGCUUAACACAUGCAAGUCGAACGGAAAGGCCCUGCUUUUGUGGGGUGCUCGAGUGGCGAACGGGUGAGUAACACGUGAGUAACCUGCCCUUGACUUUGGGAUAACUUCAGGAAACUGGGGCUAAUACCGGAUAGGAGCUCCUGCUGCAUGGUGGGGGUGGGAAGGUUCGGCGGUUGGGGAUGGACUUGCGGCUUAUCCGCUUGGUGGUGGGGUUGUGGCCUGCCAAGGCUUUGACGGGUAGCCGGCCUGAGAGGGUGACCGGGCACCUUGCGCCUGAGGUACGGCCCAGUCUCCUACGUGAGGCAGCAGUGGGGAGUAUUGCACAAUGGGCCGACGCCUGAUGCAGCAACGCCGCGUGCGUGAUGACGGCCUUCGGGUUGUAAACCGCUUUCGCCUGUGACGAAGCGUGCGUGACGGUAAUGGGUAAAGAAGCACCGGCUAACUACGUG